AGCGAACGCUGGCGGCAGGCCUAACACAUGCAAGUCGAACGAAGCCUUCGGGCUUAGUGGCGGGCGGGUGAGUAACACGUGGGAACGUACCUUUUGGUUCGGAACAACUCAGGGAAACUUGAGCUAAUACCGGAUGAGCCCUUAGGGGGAAAGAUUUAUCGCCGAAAGAGCGGCCCGCGUUAGAUUCGCUAGUUGGUGAGGUAAAGGCUCACAAAGGCAACGAUCUAUAGCUGGUCUGGGAGGAUGAUCAGCCACACUGGGACUGAGACACGGCCCAGACUCCUACGGGAGGCAGCAGUGGGGAAUCUUGCGCAAUGGGCGAAAGCCUGACGCAGCCAUGCCGCGUGAAUGAUGAAGGUCUUAGGAUUGUAAAAUUCUUUUACCAGGGACGAUAAUGACGGUACCUGGAGAAAAAGCCCCGGCUAACUUCGUGCCAGCCGCCGCAGUAACAC
rnacentral:rRNA from 1 species